rnacentral:miRNA from 10 species
CGGAGUCAAAAGUUUCGGAGU